rnacentral:rRNA from 1 species
GAUGAACGCUGGCGGCGUGCCUAAUACAUGCAAGUCGAGCGAACGGACGAGAAGCUUGCUUUUCUGAUGUUAGCGGCGGACGGGUGAGUAACACGUGGAUAACCUACCUAUAAGACUGGGAUAACUUCGGGAAACCGGAGCUAAUACCGGAUAAUAUUUUGAACCGCAUGGUUCAAAAGUGAAAGACGGUCUUGCUGUCACUUAUAGAUGGAUCCGCGCUGCAUUAGCUAGUUGGUAAGGUAACGGCUUACCAAGGCAACGAUGCAUAGCCGACCUGAGAGGGUGAUCGGCCACACUGGAACUGAGACACGGUCCAGACUCCUACGGGAGGCAGCAGUAGGGAAUCUUCCGCAAAGGGCGAAAGCCUGACGGAGCAACGCCGCGUGAGUGAUGAAGGUCUUCGGAUCGUAAAACUCUGUUAUUAGGGAAGAACAUAUGUGUAAGUAACUGUGCACAUCUUGACGGUACCUAGUCAGAAAGCCACGGCUAACUACGUG